UUAAGCGACUAAGCGUACACGGUGGAUGCCCUGGCAGUCAGAGGCGAUGAAGGACGUGCUAAUCUGCGAAAAGCGCCGGCGAGGUGAUAUGAACCUUUGACCCGGCGAUGUCCGAAUGGGGAAACCCAGUGCAAUUCGUUGCACUAUCGUUAACUGAAUACAUAGGUUAACGAGGCGAACCGGGGGAACUGAAACAUCUAAGUACCCCGAGGAAAAGAAAUCAACCGAGAUUCCCCCAGUAGCGGCGAGCGAACGGGGAGCAGCCCGGAGUCUGAAUCAGCUUGUGUGUUAGUGGAACGGUCUGGAAAGUCCGACGGUACAGGGUGAUAGUCCCGUACACGAAAGCACACAUGCUGUGAACUCGAAGAGUAGGGCGGGACACGUGGUAUCCUGUCUGAAUAUGGGGGGACCAUCCUCCAAGGCUAAAUACUCCUGACUGACCGAUAGUGAACCAGUACCGUGAGGGAAAGGCGAAAAGAACCCCGGCGAGGGGAGUGAAAAAGAACCUGAAACCGUGUACGUACAAGCAGUGGGAGCCUCUUUAUGGGGUGACUGCGUACCUUUUGUAUAAUGGGUCAGCGACUUAUAUUCUGUAGCAAGGUUAACCGUAUAGGGGAGCCGAAGGGAAACCGAGUCUUAACUGGGCGUUAAGUUGCAGGGUAUAGACCCGAAACCCGGUGAUCUAGCCAUGGGCAGGUUGAAGGUUGGGUAACACUAACUGGAGGACCGAACCGACUAAUGUUGAAAAAUUAGCGGAUGACCUGUGGCUGGGGGUGAAAGGCCAAUCAAACCGGGAGAUAGCUGGUUCUCCCCGAAAGCUAUUUAGGUAGCGCCUCGUGAAUUCAUCUUCGGGGGUAGAGCACUGUUUCGGCUAGGGGGCCAUCCCGGCUUACCAACCCGAUGCAAACUACGAAUACCGAAGAAUGUUAUCACGGGAGACACACGGCGGGUGCUAACGUCCGUCGUGAAGAGGGAAACAACCCAGACCGCCAGCUAAGGUCCCAAAGUCAUGGUUAAGUGGGAAACGAUGUGGGAAGGCACAGACAGCCAGGAUGUUGGCUUAGAAGCAGCCAUCAUUUAAAGAAAGCGUAAUAGCUCACUGGUCGAGUCGGCCUGCGCGGAAGAUGUAACGGGGCUAAACCAUGCACCGAAGCUGCGGCAGCGACGCUUAUGCGUUGUUGGGUAGGGGAGCGUUCUGUAAGCCGUCGAAGGUGUCCUGUGAGGGGUGCUGGAGGUAUCAGAAGUGCGAAUGCUGACAUAAGUAACGAUAAAGCGGGUGAAAAGCCCGCUCGCCGGAAGACCAAGGGUUCCUGUCCAACGUUAAUCGGGGCAGGGUGAGUCGACCCCUAAGGCGAGGCCGAAAGGCGUAGUCGAUGGGAAACAGGUUAAUAUUCCUGUACUUGGUGUUACUGCGAAGGGGGGACGGAGAAGGCUAUGUCAGCCGGGCGACGGUUGUCCCGGUUUAAGCAUGUAGGCGGAGGUUCCAGGUAAAUCCGGUACCUUGUUAACGCUGAGGUGUGAUGACGAGGCACUACGGUGCUGAAGUGAUAAAUGCCCUGCUUCCAGGAAAAGCCUCUAAGCAUCAGGUAACACGAAAUCGUACCCCAAACCGACACAGGUGGUCAGGUAGAGAAUACCAAGGCGCUUGAGAGAACUCGGGUGAAGGAACUAGGCAAAAUGGUGCCGUAACUUCGGGAGAAGGCACGCUGAUAUGUAGGUGAAGUCCCUGCGGACGGAGCUGAAAUCAGUCGAAGAUACCAGCUGGCUGCAACUGUUUAUUAAAAACACAGCACUGUGCAAACACGAAAGUGGACGUAUACGGUGUGACGCCUGCCCGGUGCCGGAAGGUUAAUUGAUGGGGUUAGCGGCAACGCGAAGCUCUUGAUCGAAGCCCCGGUAAACGGCGGCCGUAACUAUAACGGUCCUAAGGUAGCGAAAUUCCUUGUCGGGUAAGUUCCGACCUGCACGAAUGGCGUAAUGAUGGCCAGGCUGUCUCCACCCGAGACUCAGUGAAAUUGAACUCGCUGUGAAGAUGCAGUGUACCCGCGGCAAGACGGAAAGACCCCGUGAACCUUUACUAUAGCUUGACACUGAACACUGGUCCUUGAUGUGUAGGAUAGGUGGGAGGCUUUGAAGCGUGGACGCCAGUCUGCGUGGAGCCAACCUUGAAAUACCACCCUUUAAUGGCUGGUGUUCUAACGUAGACCCGUAAUCCGGGUUGCGGACAGUGUCUGGUGGGUAGUUUGACUGGGGCGGUCUCCUCCCAAAGAGUAACGGAGGAGCACGAAGGUUGGCUAAUCCUGGUCGGACAUCAGGAGGUUAGUGCAAUGGCAUAAGCCAGCUUGACUGCGAGCGUGACGGCGCGAGCAGGUGCGAAAGCAGGUCAUAGUGAUCCGGUGGUUCUGAAUGGAAGGGCCAUCGCUCAACGGAUAAAAGGUACUCCGGGGAUAACAGGCUGAUACCGCCCAAGAGUUCAUAUCGACGGCGGUGUUUGGCACCUCGAUGUCGGCUCAUCACAUCCUGGGGCUGAAGUAGGUCCCAAGGGUAUGGCUGUUCGCCAUUUAAAGUGGUACGCGAGCUGGGUUUAGAACGUCGUGAGACAGUUCGGUCCCUAUCUGCCGUGGGCGCUGGAGAAUUGAGGGGGGCUGCUCCUAGUACGAGAGGACCGGAGUGGACGCAUCACUGGUGUUCGGGUUGUCAUGCCAAUGGCACUGCCCGGUAGCUAAAUGCGGAAGAGAUAAGUGCUGAAAGCAUCUAAGCACGAAACUUGCCCCGAGAUGAGUUCUCCCUGAGACUUUAAGUCUCCUGAAGGAACGUUGAAGACGACGACGUUGAUAGGUCGGGUGUGUAAGCGCAGCGAUGCGUUGAGCUAACCGAUACUAAUGAACCGUGAGGCUUAACCUU
rnacentral:rRNA from 1 species